rnacentral:snoRNA from 1 species
GUGAUGAAAAAACGGUCUGGCGACCCAUGACCGGGAGACCGAUCGCUGA